rnacentral:lncRNA from 1 species
CUUAAGAUGCCUAGAAUUCCAUUGUUUAUGGGAACUAGGAAGUGUGGCUAUGAAGAAGAAGGGCCUAUAAUGCCGUACACCAACCUUGGAAACGGGGGAUGUUCCUAGAAGUAUGAUACUGUUUGCAAUAAGUGGAUUUUGUAUUGAUUAAAUCGUAUAUCCAUGGUAAAUAAUCAUAUCACACCAACUCCACAGGCAUAGAACCAUAUGAACGAAGCUGCAAACAGUUGGGAGCGAGAGUUCACCUGACGGGUACUGAGACUAGUAGAUGGCCUGCAAACUGGACGCUGCAAGUCAGGUUUCCAGUUCCAACUGUUUGGUCUUAAACCUGCCAAAAAAGAAGAUGUUUUAGCCAUGUAUAUUGUAUACUGCAAGUGGAAUAUGUUCAAAGACUAUUAGAGAAUUGAGCUUUAGUCCCAGUUGGUAGGGUUCAAAGGUCCCGAAAAUCCAUCCGAGAUUAAUUUUUUGAGACAAGGGAGUCCUUUAGUUUCAGAAAAAAAUAAAAAAAAGGCCACGUGGCCGGCCGGCCGCCACCCGCCUCGGCUCGUGCCCACACCCCCACCCGCCCGCCGCUUCACGCCUGUGCCUCCGCUUGCCCGCCGCUUGCCCGCCCGCGCCCGCGCCGCCUGCUGCUUGGCCUCCCGCGCCUCCGCUCGUUGCUGGGCCGCCCACGCCCGCGCUGCGCGCCGCCUCCGCUCGUCGCUCGGCCGCUCCCCCGCGCGCCAGCCCUGCCCUCGCCCCGCUGCCACUCCUCACUCCAUUUUUUAAUUGUUUAGGUAGUUAGGCCUAGUGCUCAGUGUGUUCAACAUUCUAGCUCCAGAACUUCAUGCUGCUAUAAUCGAUAUAUCCUCGCUUCAUUGAGUCCUUGUGACUUUUGGAUCUCUAGGUGGAGAAUUGCAGUCUGCUUGCAGAGUUUCAUGAUGAAUUUUCAAGUUGUGCGGGACAUACAUGCCUAAAUUUAUUUCUAUGGAAUAGUUUCUGAAUCCAUCAUGCAUCGAGGGGUUCUUACUGAUGACAUGGCAUUUGAAAGGUUUAUAUUCAAAAGUGCUGCGGGCAUAAUGCAAGAUGGAGGUUUUAAUUUAUUAAGCUUUUGCGGCAUGUGGCACUGGCACGCAGAUGGCCUUUAAGGUUUAAUAGUUGAGUUGCCCCUGCCUUUAGGACAGAUAUUGCAGAGCGGCAUGUUGGAGUUUCUAAGGCUGCAGAACAGUUUGCUGUUCUUUGUGUGGUAAAAACUGCAAUAUGUGUAAAUGCUUGUGGCUCUUAGAACUUGGGGCAUUUUUUUACACUAGGACGUAUUCAGAUGCAUUCGCAGGAACAGACAAUGUUCCAAUCCAGAGGAGCUGUACUAUAGUGUUUCGGCAAGUCUGUUGUGGUGGCUUCUUGAAUUCAUGGGCUUGUACAAGCUUGUGUGUAGCAUCCUAGUUGACCUGUUAUUAGCUCUUCAUUUUUUAGUAUUUCCUUCUGCUUUUACAUCAGCUUAUGGGACCUAAUUAAUUGUGCUCUUUACUUUAAACUUCUCCAUUCACAAUUAAUUGUAUUAGGUUACAAAAACAUCAUAUUGUGACACCCGAUCUAAUUUAGUGGUCUAGUAGUGGUCCAUUAGCGUUAUAUGCGCAUGUGUUAAUACCACAUUGCAAAAAGGUUUAUAAGUUAGCUCUACGCCUCUACCCUUGCUCAACUACCAACAUGGUACUAAACAUAUGCACAUACAACACUCAUGAGCUACUACUCGACCACCAAAUUGGAUCGGGUAUCACAUGCCUCAAAAAAAAAGAAUCUAGCUUUGGAGGAUGAGAUGUUACACAUCUACAUAUGCAUAUGAUCCUUUCCUAAUAGGGCUACCAAAGUCAUUUUCCUUCGUCAUUAGUCCGUCUUAAGAUUUCUAGAAUUCCAUUGUUUAUGGGAACUAGGAAGUGUGGCUAUGAGGAAGAAGGGCCUGUAAUGCCGUACACCAACCUUGGAAACGGGGAAUGUUCCAACAAGUAUGAUACUGUUUGCAAUAAGUGGAUUUUGUCCUGAUUAAAUCGUAUAUCCAUGGUAAAUAAUCAUAUCACACUCAACUCCACGGGCAUAGAACCAUAUGAACAAAGCUGCAAACAGUUGGGAGCGAGAGUUCACCUGAUGGGUACUGAGACUAGUAGAUGGCCUGCAAUCUGGACGCUGCAAGUCAGGUUUCCAGUUCCAACUGUUUGGUCUCAAACCUGCCAAAAAAAAAGAUGUUUUGGCCAUGUAUAUUGUAUACUGCAAGUGGAAUAUGUUCGAACACUACUAGAGAAUUGAGUUUUAGUCCCAGUUGGUAGGGUUCAAAGGUCCCGAAAAUCCAUCCGGGAUUAAUUUUUCGAGACAAAGGAGGUCCUUUAAUUUCGAGAAAAAAUAAAAAAAAAGGCC